GAUGAACGCUGGCGGCGUGCUUAACACAUGCAAGUCGAACGAUGAAGCCCAGCUUGCUGGGUGGAUUAGUGGCGAACGGGUGAGUAACACGUGAGUAACCUGCCCUUAACUCUGGGAUAAGCCUGGGAAACUGGGUCUAAUACCGGAUAGGAGCGUCCACCGCAUGGUGGGUGUUGGAAAGAUUUAUCGGUUUUGGAUGGACACGCGGCCUAUCAGCUUGUUGGUGAGGUAAUGGCUCACCAAGGCGACGACGGGUAGCCGGCCUGAGAGGGUGACCGGCCACACUGGGACUGAGACACGGCCCAGACUCCUACGGGAGGCAGCAGUGGGGAAUAUUGCACAAUGGGCGAAAGCCUGAUGCAGCGACGCCGCGUGAGGGAUGACGGCCUUCGGGUUGUAAACCUCUUUCAGUAGGGAAGAAGCGAAAGUGACGGUACCUGCAGAAGAAGCACCGGCUAACUACGUG
rnacentral:rRNA from 1 species